GGUCCGGACAUCUGCGGUCCUGGCACCAAGAAGGUUCAUGUCAUCUUUAACUACAAGGGCAAGAACGUGCUGAUCAACAAGGAUAUCCGGUGUAAGGUGUGUCUGGGGUAGUCAUUUAAGUGGCUGUCACGGGAGGUCCAGGCAGCCUGGUGGGAGGGACUGCUCACCUCCUUCCUUCUUCAGGAUGAUGAAUUCACACAUCUAUACACGCUGAUUGUGCGGCCAGACAACACCUACGAGGUGAAAAUUGACAACAGCCAGGUGGAGUCGGGCUCCUUGGAGGAUGAUUGGGACUUUCUGCCGCCCAAGAAGAUUAAGGAUCCUGACGCUGCCAAGCCAGAAGACUGGGAUGAACGAGCCAAGAUUGAUGACCCCACAGAUUCCAAGCCUGAGGACUGGGACAAGCCAGAGCACAUCCCUGACCCUGAUGCUAAGAAGCCUGAGGACUGGGACGAAGAGAUGGAUGGAGAGUGGGAACCACCAGUGAUUCAAAAUCCUGAAUACAAGGGCGAAUGGAAGCCACGUCAAAUUGACAACCCAGAUUACAAGGGUACCUGGAUACACCCAGAGAUUGACAAUCCUGAAUACUCCCCCGAUGCGAAUAUCUAUGCCUAUGAUAGUUUUGCUGUACUGGGCUUAGACCUCUGGCAGGUCAAGUCUGGCACAAUUUUUGACAACUUCCUCAUCACCAAUGAUGAGGCCUAUGCAG
rnacentral:lncRNA from 1 species